rnacentral:rRNA from 1 species
ACGGGUGAGUAACACGUGGGUGAUCUGCCCUGCACUUCGGGAUAAGCUUGGGAAACUGGGUCUAAUACCGGAUAGGACCAUGGUUUAGCAUCUCAUGGUGGAAAAAUGUUUUUUGGUGUAGGAUGAGCCCGCGGCCUAUCAGCUUGUUGGUGGGGUAAUGGCCUACCAAGGCGUCGACGGGUAGCCGGCCUGAGAGGGUGGACGGCCACAUUGGGACUGAGAUACGGCCCAGACUCCUACGGGAGGCAGCAGUGGGGAAUAUUGCACAAUGGGCGCAAGCCUGAUGCAGCGACGCCGCGUGGGGGAUGACGGCCUUCGGGUUGUAAACUCCUUUCGUUAGGGACGAAGCCGCACCUGUUUUUGGGUGUGGUGACGGUACCUUUGUUAAGAAGCACCGGCUAGCUACGUGCCAGCAGCCGCGGUAAUACGUAGGGUGCGAGCGUUGUCCGGAAUUACUGGGCGUAAAGAGCUCGUAGGUGGUUUGUUGCGUCGUCUGUGAAAUUCCGGGGCUUAACUUCGGGGUGGCAGGCGAUACGGGCAUAACUAGAGUGCUGUAGGGGAGACUGGAAUUCCUGGUGUAGCGGUGGAAUGCGCAGAUAUCACGAGGAACACCGAUGGCGAAAGCAGGUCUCUGGGCAGUAACUGACGCUGAGGAGCGAAAGCAUGGGGAGCGAACAGGAUUAGAUACCCUGGUAGUCCAUGCUGUAAACG